AAAGUGGCGAACGGCUGAGUAACACGUGGGCAACCUGUCCUUUGCACUGGGAUAGCCUCGGGAAACCGAGGUUAAUACCGGAUACUCCAUAUUUGUCGCAUGGCGAAUAUGGGAAAGCUCCGGCGGCAAAGGAUGGGCCCGCGGCCUGUUAGCUAGUUGGUGGGGUAGUGGCCUACCAAGGCAAUGAUGGGUAGCCGGGUUGAGAGACCGACCGGCCAGAUUGGGACUGAGACACGGCCCAGACUCCUACGGGAGGCAGCAGAC
rnacentral:rRNA from 1 species